rfam:Gossypium raimondii Chr09_contig_675, whole genome shotgun sequence.
AUUUCUUUUAACAUAUCAAGAAGUCGAAUUGGCAGUGAAGAAAUAAUUAGGAAGUCGAAAACCAUCAUUGCCUAUAACCAAAACCCAUUAAACCCAUACUAUACUUUUUUCUUCACUGCCAAUUCGACUUCCUGAUAUGUUGAAAGAAAU